rnacentral:rRNA from 1 species
AGUGAACGCUGGCGGUAGGCCUAACACAUGCAAGUCGAACGGCAGCACAGUAAGAGCUUGCUCUUACGGGUGGCGAGUGGCGGACGGGUGAGGAAUACAUCGGAAUCUACUUUUUCGUGGGGGAUAACGUAGGGAAACUUACGCUAAUACCGCAUACGACCUACGGGUGAAAGCAGGGGAUCUUCGGACCUUGCGCGAUUGAAUGAGCCGAUGUCGGAUUAGCUAGUUGGCGGGGUAAAGGCCCACCAAGGCGUCGAUCCGUAGCUGGUCUGAGAGGAUGAUCAGCCACACUGGAACUGAGACACGGUCCAGACUCCUACGGGAGGCAGCAGUGGGGAAUAUUGGACAAAGGGCGCAAGCCUGAUCCAGCCAUACCGCGUGGGUGAAGAAGGCCUUCGGGUUGUAAAGCCCUUUUGUUGGGAAAGAAAAGCAGCAGGUUAAUACCCCGCUGUUCUGACGGUACCCAAAGAAUAAGCACCGGCUAACUUCGUG